GUGUCCAAGAAAAAGUACAAAAGGCGAUUAAUUUGAGCAAAAGGAAAGAGUGGCAUCCAGCUUAACACCUGACGCAAUAACAGAAUUCCUAGGAUCUCCGGCUCCCACCCCAAAAUCCCGUCUCCAUCUUGUUUGCGCUUACUGAUUCUCUGGGACCCACCUCUUGUCGGUGACACCCCAAGCCAUUACAAAAAUGUUUGCCCAUGCCCCUUGACUAUGUGGAGCUCUCACCCUGUUCCAUCUCACAACACCACACCUUUGCUUUCUUGCUUGUUAUGCUCUUAAGACAAAACAGGAUUCCGGGGCGUAAUGUUGAUGUCCCCAGGUGGUGCCCGUCACCGUCACACCUAGCUGGAUCUUUACACAUGUCCCAAUCUGGGUGGACCAUUUCCAGAGUCUUCCAAUUCGAGAAUGCCCCCCCGAUUAUCUCUUCUUUCCGACCAUUCCCAAAUUACACUACUUCAACUCUAUUCUGCUCAUACAUUACAAUAUAAUUAUUCCAUUAACCCUGUUUAUCUAUUUCUUCAUUAACUAUUCUUAACUUUAUGACAAAAAGAUGAUGUCUUAACAUUUAUGUUAUACAUGGUGAUUAUAAAUUAAAAAUUCAACUUUAAAAUAUUUAUAAUUUUAGAUGAAUUCUGUUAUUCUUGAAUGUUGAUAUCUUAAUUUCUUUUGAUUCUUCAAUAUAUAUAAAAAUCUAUAGUCGAAUUUCAUCCCUUGGCAUAUUUUUUGUGAUUCCACUUUUUUUUAUGUCUAAUAGCUUAAAGGUGUAUAGAAAACGAAAACCAAAGGUGAGGCGACGGAGAUUUUUAUAGGUACUACGUGACAUAGAGGUGAUUGCAUCUAUUUUUAUCUUAUUGCAAUCCUUACAUUAAAAUUCAAAUACAUUUUAUGAUUGAUUUUAUUAUUACCUUGAUGACUUUUGGAGCCACGGAAGACGAUAGAAGCUUCAAGUUUGUUUUGUAGAUAAAAGAUUUGUUGAAUGUUUUUCAGCAAAAACUAAAUGGAAUGUGAAUAAGGAGAUGGAGACGAUGGUGCUGGUGAAUUUUGACAAUAUCCUGGCUUGAUGAUCGACGCCUACAAAGGACUGUGGUGGCAGAGGCUGGCUGAAAUCUGGG
rnacentral:lncRNA from 1 species